rnacentral:rRNA from 1 species
AUGAUCUCUGUUGAUAGGGCCCUUCUUGACUUAGGGCGCCUCGCUUUCCAUCGGCCAUUUGGGCCGGCGGAAUCCGCCGCCUGGCGUGAGUUGCUUGACUGCGUUGCUCUGCAUGAGCCGGUGGUGGAUGGGGAUCAGGAUCUUGUGCGCUGGCACCUGGAGCCGUCGGGCCAGUUCUCUACCAAAUCGCUAUACUUGGCCAUUGCCCCCUCCUCCGCUCCCCUCCCCCUAUCGAUGGUGUGGUCCGUCCGCGUCCCCCUGAAGAUUCGCAUCUUCAUGUGGCAGUGGAUCCGUGGACGGAUCCCGUCCGGUGUGGAGGUCCGCAAGCGUAAUGGCCCGGGCACUGGUAUCUGCCCCCUCUGUGCUAUUCCCGAGGACUCCAACCACAUCUUCUUCGCCUGCGUCUCCGCCCGGUUCCUCUGGAACUGCUUUCGCGAGAUUGUCGGUGGGAGUUGGUUGGUGCCACACCAAUUUCCCGGACUUAUUUGCUGA